AAUAGAUACCCGGGUAGUCCACGCCCUAAACGAUGUCAACUGGUUGUCGGGGAAGCAAUUCCUUGGUAACGAAGCUAACGCGUGAAGUUGACCGCCUGGGGAGUACGGCCGCAAGGUUAAAACUCAAAGGAAUUGACGGGGACCCGCACAAGCGGUGGAUUAUGUGGAUUAAUUCGAUGCAACGCGAAAAACCUUACCUACCCUUGACAUGUACGGAACUUGGCAGAGAUGCCUUGGUGCCCGAAAGGGAGCCGUAACACAGGUGCUGCAUGGCUGUCGUCAGCUCGUGUCGUGAGAUGUUGGGUUAAGUCCCGCAACGAGCGCAACCCUUGUCAUUAGUUGCUACAUUCAGUUUGGGCACUCUAAUGAGACUGCCGGUGACAAACCGGAGGAAGGUGGGGAUGACGUCAAGUCCUCAUGGCCCUUAUGGGUAGGGCUUCACACGUAAAUACAAUGGCCGGUACAGAGGGCUGCCAACCCGCGAGGGGGAGCUAAUCCCAGAAAAGCCGGUCGUAGUCCGGAUUGUUCUCUGCAACUCGAGAGCAUG
rnacentral:rRNA from 1 species